rnacentral:tRNA from 1 species
AGAAAGGUGACAGGAUUCGAACCUAUGGCCCUCUGUACCCAAAACAGAUGCGCUGCGCUACCCAGCGCGUAACCUUGU